rfam:Echinostoma caproni strain Egypt genome assembly, scaffold: ECPE_contig0005939
GCACUGCUGACGAAUCCCAAAUAGGACGAAACAGCUGUCCAAUGU